rnacentral:lncRNA from 1 species
UGUAGUGCACGGGAAAGUAAAAAAAGAAAAAAAGAAAAAAAAGGUUUUUGGAUGAUUUAUGUGAUGUUGCAGUAGUUCCAUAUUUGAUGAAAAUGAAAAAUGGCAAAUGGAAAAGAGAUUGUUUGGGGGUAUAUAAGGAUCAAUGUUUCUAUUGCUAAAAAACUCGGGCUUAAGCAUUUUGGAUAAGUGGUUCAGGCUCGGCAAGUUACUAGUAUUACAUUAUCCGUGUUGCCCCAGUAGUCCCAUAUUGGAUGGGUACAAGA